GCCCUGGUAGCAUAGCGGCUAAUGCAUCGCUCUCGUAAAGCGAAGAUCGGGGGUUCGAAUCCCUCCCAGGGCU
rnacentral:tRNA from 1 species